GGCUCCUGGGGGCACUGGCAUGUCCCCCCUCCGGCUCCUAAGUGUAGGGGCAACUAGAGGGCUCCACACACUGUCCUCACCCCAAGCACAGCACC